CGGUAAUGCACCAAUAAGCUGGAUGCCAACCGCCGUUAAACUGGAAGGAAGACUAAUAUGACAGCUUGCUGUGAGAGACAACGGGACAGAUGAGACACAUAUGUGUUUAUCUGCUGUAGAGUAACUGAUGAAGGAAUGCUGCCAUCAAAGGAUUUGUAUAUUUUGUGGUGGAGCAGGACCUGCAAGGAAAGAUGAAAAAGAGGGAAAACCUGAAACAAAAGAAUAAUGUAAUGACUUUUUGUAUUGUGUAUGUGUAUUUUUGUAGGACAUGAAAAUGUCUGUUGACUGGUGUGUGCACUGAGGAUGGAGAAGACUACAGCAUCAUCCUGGAAAUGAUCGAGAGUCACAGAUGAGACGCUCCAUCACUCCAGCUAUUACUGUCUCAUCAGGACCAGAUGCUGCUCUGGUGUCUUCAUCCUUAGUGACCCCAGAGCCAGUGAGAGCAUCUAGAGAAAGACCACAAGACACUGAGGAUGUGAUUUUGGGGCCUACAAUUCCCUGAUCAACCUGGAGAAGAGAGCCUUGCUCAAGGACACACUGGUGUUCCUGUGGCUCAAGAGGUAGAGCAUUGCGUUAGCAGUGCAAGGUUUUGGGUUCGAAUACCAGGGAACACAUGUUAGGCAGUCGUGCUCAUGGGGUGCAGGCACAUGAAAGUUCGGAGCAGACACAGCGGUCAGAUUAUCCUGCACGUGUUCCCCUGCUCUAGCUUCAAGGUUGUGUGGUUCAGAGAGCCGUCAUCAUGGUCUUCCUCAUCCUGUUGCUCAACGACAUCCCUGUUGAGAAGAGUGAGAUUGUGAAGUGCAGCGGCAGAACUAUAUCAGCUGUGUUCAGAUCGCAGGAGGAUGUUGGGUUCACCAUCUGUAAAUACAUGAUUGUUAGAACAAUAAGUUUGAAUGAAGCUUUGUAUCAUGUGUUGUUGACUUGUGCAUGUAUGCAUUUAUUGUGAUGCUAACUUUUAUACAUUAUUUUAAUCAUUUAGACAUGUUUUUUUGUUCUCAGUAAAUAAAAUAUAAAUAUUUUAUCCA